AGUAAAGUAAACAUUUAUUUAUCUAUAAAUCCACAACUUAUCAUUUUAUUUAAACUAACUUUAC
rnacentral:tRNA from 1 species